CGCACACCUGCACAUCAUCAGACUCACCUGGACUCCAUCACUUGUAUGUCACUUCCUUUGGUUCCUUCCCCAGGCGUUAUUGUUUCUGUUUAAGUUUCAUGUCUGUGCGUUGUUCUUGUUUUGUAUUAAGUUACGUUUAUUUAUUUAAACACUCCCUCCCUGAGCUUGCUUCCCGACUCUUAGCGCACUCCUUACAGCCCCCUCUAAUCGGCCAUAGAUUCUCAAUGUCUGAUGUUUUCUUGAAGGUCACUCCACGACACACACGAUGCAGCGCUGUCGUUCAGGUAGCAGAUGAUGCGCUGUCUGCCACUGACUUGUCAUUCCCACUCGCCAUUACUCACAGCUGUCAUCAAAUGGACUCAUGCUAGCCACAAGUUCUGACUGAGCUCAAUUGUCAUGAAACUCAUAUACGUCGAUGAAUUUCUCUCUCGAGGAGCACCCACAAUGUGUUUUGUGUGUGGAAGUGCUUAGUAAUGAGUCUCUCAUAACGAACAAAUUAGUAAAACGACACAUCCUGACUAAACAUCCACAGCAUGAAGGUAAACCCAGGGAGUUCUUUCAGAACAGGGCAGAAUGCUUCAGGAAACAGUGCUUCGACAGUGGAAAAGUAGCAAGGCAUUGUUGUCAUUUUAUAACAGGUGAUGAUAAGCAGAAAUAAGGGAGUACUAAAUAACUCAUAGUAGUAACAUUAGAUGUGAGUUUAUCUUUCAAACAAUCGACUGGCCUUGUACACAGCUAUUAGCUAACAUUAGCCAAAGCAAGCUAGCUACUGAUGUGCAACCCUAGUAACAGUACAGAUGAAGAUGAAAAAUGAUCAGGCCUACUGUACAUCUUACUGUAGAAAUUAUUGUUGAAAACUAGUCUAGUUUGGAACUGUUGCUAUUCAAAUACAAUAAUAAUUGUUAUUCUUAACUGGAAUAAAUUGAUUGAAGCAUGAUGCUUUUUGAGGCAAACACACAGUUCUGGGCUGCUCAUUUACAGCAGGAAGCUGUUUCCUGCCUGACUGAGAAAGCAGUAGAUGUUCUGGUUGUUUGGCACCACAUACCUAUGCGAGUCAGGGUUCUCAACCCUGACAUACUUAAAAAACAAGAACAGAAACAGUUUCAAGGCUGAGCAUGAACUCAGUGUUGCGCUGUCAAAAACAGAACCCAGAAUAGACAUGCUCUCAUUAGGACUGUGUGUGUGUUUUCUGGUCUACAUCUGUGUGAUGUGACCAAUCAAGUUUAUUCCAGUUCAAAAUGAAAAAUAUGUAUUGUAUUUUAACAGCAACAAUUCCAACCUAGACUUUCUUUCAACAAUAAUUUCUAAAGUAAGAUCAUUUUUCAUCUGUAGUGUGACUUAGGGUUGCGCUAUCAAAAAGCCUGUGUGUGUGUUGUGUUAUUCAUCUGUGUGAUGUGAUGCAUCUUUUUAUUCCAAUUCAGAAUGAAAAUUAUUUAUUGUAUUUUAACAGCAACGUUCCAACCUA
rnacentral:lncRNA from 8 species